AGAGUUUGAUCAUGGCUCAGGAUGAACGCUGGCGGCGUGCCUAAUACAUGCAAGUCGAGCGCCUCUACUAAUCUUAUGAAGUUUUCGUAGGAUUGGUUGAGGAGCGGCGGACGGCAGAGUAACGCGUAGGAACGUACCCCAAACUGAGGGAUAAGCACCGGAAACGGUGUCUAAUACCGCAUAAUAUCUUCGGAUUAAAGCUACGGCGGUUUGGGAGCGGCCUGCGUCUGAUUAAUUAGUUGGUGAGGUAAUAGCUCACCAAGACAAUGAUCGGUAGCUGGUCUGAGAGGAUGAUCAGCCUGACUGGAACUGAGAACGGUCCAGACUCCUACGGGAGGCAGCAGUAGGGAAUUUUCCACAAUGGACGAAAGUCUGAUGGAGCAACGCCGCGUGCAGGAGGAAGGCCUUCGGGUUGUAAACUGCUUUUAUCUGUGACGAUUUUGACGGUAGCAGAUGAAUAAGGAUUGGCUAACUCCGUGCCAGCAGCCGCGGUCAUACGGAGGAUCCAAGCGUUAUCCGGAAUUACUGGGCGUAAAGAGUUGCGUAGGUGGCAUAGUAAGCGAAUAGUGAAAUGAUACGGCUCAACCGUAUGUCCAUUAUUUGAACUGCUAAGCUUGAGGACGAGAGAGGUAGAUGGAAUUUCUAGUGUAGGAGUGAAAUCCGUAGAUAUUAGAAGGAACACCGAUGGCGUAAGCAGUCUACUGGCUUGUUCCUGACACUAAGGCACGAAAGCGUGGGGAGCGAACGGGAUUAGAUACCCUAGUAGUCC
rnacentral:rRNA from 1 species